rnacentral:rRNA from 1 species
CAGUCGCCGCGGUAAUACGAAGGGGGCUAGCGAUGUUCGGAUUUACUGGGCGUAAAGGGCGCGUAGGCGGGCGAAUAAGUCAGGGGUGAAAUCCCAAGGCUCAACCUUGGAACUGCCUUUGAUACUGUUUGUCUUGAGUUCGAGAGAGGUAAGUGGAACUGCGAGUGCAGAGGUGAAAUUCGUAGAUAUUCGCAAGAACACCAGUGGCGAAGGCGGCUUACUGGCUCGAAACUGACGCUGAGGCGCGAAAGCGUGGGGAGCAAACAGGAUUAGAGACCCCAGUAGUCCCUGUCUCUUAUAU